UACAGAGGUCUCAAGCGUUGUUCGGAUUCAUUGGGCGUAAAGGGUGCGUAGGUGGCUUGGUAAGUUGAAGGUGAAAUCUCGGAGCUCAACUCCGAAACUGCCUUCAAUACUGCCGGGCUUGAGGACUGUAGAGGAGAAUGGAAUUCACGGUGUAGCAGUGAAAUGCGUAGAUAUCGUGAGGAAGACCAGUGGCGAAGGCGAUUCUCUGGGCAGUUCCUGACACUGAGGCACGAAGGCCAGGGGAGCAAACGGG
rnacentral:rRNA from 1 species